AUUGAACGCUGGCGGUAGGCUUAACACAUGCAAGUCGAGCGGAGUGAUGGUGCUUGCACUAUCACUUAGCGGCGGACGGGUGAGUAAUGCUUAGGAAUCUGCCUAUUAGUGGGGGACAACAUCUCGAAAGGGAUGCUAAUACCGCAUACGUCCUACGGGAGAAAGCAGGGGAUCACUUGUGACCUUGCGCUAAUAGAUGAGCCUAAGUCGGAUUAGCUAGUUGGGUGGGUAAAGGCCUACCAAGGCGACGAUCUGUAGCGGGGCUGAGAGGAUGGUCCGCCACACUGGGACUGGGACACGGCCCAGACUCCUACGGGAGGCAGCAGUGGGGAAUAUUGGACAAUGGGGGGAACCCUGAUCCAGCCAUGCCGCGUGUGUGAAGAAGGCCUUAUGGUUGUAAAGCACUUUAAGCGAGGAGGAGGCUCUUUUGGUUAAUACCCAAGAUGAGUGGACGUUACUCGCAGAAUAAGCACCGGCUAACUCUGUGCCAGCCGCCGCCGUAA
rnacentral:rRNA from 1 species